GACGAACGCUGGCGGCGUGCUUAACACAUGCAAGUCGAACGGAAAGGCCCCUUUGGGGGUCCUCGAGUGGCGAACGGGUGAGUAACACGUGAGUAACCUGCCCUUGACUUCGGGAUAACUUCAGGAAACUGGGGCUAAUACCGGAUAGGAAUCCUUGCUGCAUGGUGGGGGUUGGAAAGCUUCGGCGGUUUUGGAUGGACUCGCGGCUUAUCAGCUUGUUGGUGGGGUAGUGGCUUACCAAGGCUUUGACGGGUAGCCGGCCUGAGAGGGCGACCGGCCACAUUGGGACUGAGAUACGGCCCAGACUCCUACGGGAGGCAGCAGUGGGGAAUAUUGCACAAUGGGCGGAAGCCUGAUGCAGCAACGCCGCGUGCGGGAUGACGGCCUUAGGGUUGUAAACCGCUUUCAGCAGGGGCGAAGCUUGUGGUGACGGUACCUGCAGAAGAAGCACCGGCUAACUACGUG
rnacentral:rRNA from 1 species